rnacentral:rRNA from 1 species
AUUGCUGUGGUAUUUUGACUAUACAAAGGUAUUGUAAUAAGAUUUUAAUUGAAUGCUAAAAGAAUGGAUUAACAGAUAAAUACUUUCUUUAAUUUAAAAAUUAAAUUUAUUAUUUUUUGUGCAGAAACAAAAAUAAAAAUUAAGGACAAGAAGACCCUAAGAAUUUUAAUUUGAUUUAAAUAAUUUAUAUUUCUUAAUCAAAUUUAAUUGGGGCGAUUGAAAAAUAUUUUUAACUUUUUUUUAAAAAAAAUAUGAACCAUUAAUAAUGGUAAUAUGAAAAAAUACUCUAGGGAUAACAGCGUAAUAAUUUUUGAUAGUUCAUAUAGACAAAAUAGUUUGCGACCUCGAUGUUGGAUUAGGAUUCUAAUUUAAUGAAGAAGUUAAAUUAAGAAGUUUGUUCAACUUUUAAAUUCCUACUU